GCACUGCUGAGGAGUCCCAUACUAGGAUGAAACGGCUGUCUAGUGC
rnacentral:hammerhead_ribozyme from 1 species